rnacentral:lncRNA from 1 species
AUACUGUGCAUUGGUCCAUAUUGUCAUUAAUGAAGCAGUGAUUACAGUAAGAUAGUCACAGCGGAACGCACAGGGCACACGAUCCAAGGGGCACCAUCGGGGGCCACUCCCCAAAGGUCGUCUAGAGGUGCUGAAGUUCCCCGAGAUAAAGCAGGAAAACAGAAACGGAAAGGGACGAUCUGAAGAUGAGCAAGACACAGGCGUGACCCCGAGGAGCUUGAAGAAUGACACAGUGAUCCCAGAAGCAAGAUCUAUGGAUGCUCGUCUCAGAAUGUUCCCAAAGAAAAGGAUCCACAGCCAAGUAGGUUCGGGAAAUGUUGGAAGAGCCAUUAAACAUGUUCUUUCACCAAAGGACUUCUCAGAGCCUUUAUUCUGGGAAUGUGCUUUGUGAAUCUCCAAAAAAGGGUGUAUAGUUUGCC